rnacentral:lncRNA from 1 species
GUGACUCAGCUUCCCUGCUUGUGCAAGAACAGCUGAACUCUGACCUCCUGAAUGGCCGACUCUUGCCUUGCUCCUCAGGGACCCCAGACACGAUCGUAGGAACCGGAGAUUUUAUGGAAAGAAGCUGAUAUUAUUUGGAGAAUGAAAAAAGAAAGAUGCACCUAGACAAAGGCACAUCAGGCCACUGUGCAGAAGAACAAGCAUGCUCUAGAAGUGUAUGUGCUGCUGUGGAAACACCUCUAAGAAAUACCGUAGAAACCCAAUGUGCAGAAUGCUCCAAGAAUGCCACCGUCUGUGCAAGAAAAAGUAUACACACAUCAGUGCACAGGUGUCUGAAUGUCUGUGUAACA